CGCAAGAGGCAGCAUGUGCCUGCGGCAUCUCGUGCCUAUGGCAUCUUGUGUCCUCCUCAACGAUUUUCUGAGGGUUUGGUUAGUUAGCCCUCAUGAGAGAUAGCACGUGCCUGCGGCAUCUUGUGCCUACGGCAUCUUGUGCUCUUCUCAUCUUUAUGCAAGAGACAGUAUGUGUCUACGGCAUCUUGUGCAUAUGGCAUCUUGUGCCCUUCUCGAUGGCCUUCUGAGGAUCUGAUUAGUUAGCCCUCACGAGAGACAGCAUGUGCCUGCGGCAUCCUGUGCCUACGGUAUCUUGUGCUCUUCUUAUCUUUACAUGAGAGACAGCAUGUGCCUGUGGCAUCAUGUGCCUACGGCAUCUUGUGCCCUCCUCAAUGGCCUUCUGAGGGUCUGAUUAAUUAGCCCUUACAAGAAGUAGCGUGUGCCUGUGGUAUCUUGUACCUAUGAUAUUUUAUGCUCUUUUCAUCUUUGCAUGAGAGGCAGUAUGUGCAUGCAGCAUCUUGUGCCUAUGGCAUCUUGUGCCCUCCUCAACGGCCUUCUGAGGGUCUGGUUAGUUAACCCUCCAGAGGUCCCUCAGGGCCUCCCUCCACUUCUCAUGCGACUUGGACUUUGUAAGGGUCUUGUAAGUUAGCCCUGCCUCUGAGUUGUGGAGGUUUCUUAGAUUGUCCUCCGUGAAUCGACUGUAGCCACGGCUAAGAAAACCUACAAAGCUAACUAGAAAGAGAUUUCUUCGUGCCAAUAUUGAACCUAAAGGCUCAUUCGUAUAAAAAGAUUUUACAACAUCAUUGAUAGUACAUGUGGAGAUUAGCUGAAUUCCAUAGCCUGAAGAUUAGCAUCCCAUCGAACUGUUUGAACAUGUAAGUUCUAGGACGUACCACUUCAUCCACCUGA
rnacentral:lncRNA from 1 species